UCUCGCUGCCCUUUUUGGGCGUUUCCUCCCUAGACUUCGGGCCGCCCCUUCGGGGGUGGCCUUUUCUUUGUCCGGG
rnacentral:sRNA from 1 species